rnacentral:lncRNA from 1 species
UCUCCCAUGACAUCCCUCAUAUGUCAGACUGGUUGCCCCUUUCACGUUACGUCGCAUAACACUUCCUUCUGUCCUGCUGGACUGAGAACUCCUUAAGCUCAGGAACUCUCUCACCAACGUCUGUGCCUCUUCCCAGCACUGGGCCUGGACCAUAGUAAAUGCUCAGUGGAUGGGAGAUUAUCAGUGGUAUGUGACUAAAUUAUUCUGCUCAAGAGAAAGAAAAAGCUUCUCUCAAACAUUUUAGAAUCGAGCAUUUGUAAUAAAAAAUCACCCCAGCAUUUGUCGUUACUACCCAGAGACCUUGGUGAGGGAUAUAUAUGGGUAAUUUCACUUAAUCCUCAAAACAGGAGACCAAGUGCUCACACUUGCCCGUUUCUUAACUGCUGCUUUGUCUUGACAAAACUCAAGUGGGGCUUCUCUCGUCCCCACAGGCCCCUGAACUCUGCCUGCCUUGGGCCUGGGCAGGCUCUAAGGCCUCCCUUUAUCAGCGUAUCCUGGGAAUGGCUGACCACAGCGAGACACGCUUCCCGCCAGACCCCGGCCAUCACGCUCCCUGCUUGCCCAACUCCCAUGGCUGCUGAGAUCUCCUUACCCCUCCCCAUAAAAGAAAAGCCUUUUCUGUUUGGUUCUGAGCUACCUGCAGAUUCCUGAGAUUGGAGACUCUCCUGUUCGCGAUGGUCUUUUCGAAUAAAGUUUCUCCUUAUCGAAGUCCAGGUUUGUUUUUAUUUGACACAACUCUAUGAUUUAGAAACGAUGCUCAGAACAUUUCACAUAAGAGUAAACUGAGGGUGAGAGGUCACACUCAGCCGCUGUGCUACACACACCUCACGCCUGCUUUCACCAGCAUCGGGGAAGACCUGCUUCACUACGCUCAAAGUUCAUCUACAGACCCGAAAGCACUAAAAUUCUAUGUCGUGUCAAUUUAUACUGUUUAUUAGUCCAUGCCAACCUGAAAACUAUCAAUUAAAAUAUUAUAAUGAAAAUUAGUAUUAUUAUUGUGUGUGUGCAAGGAAGAUUGGCCCUGAGCGAACACCUGUGCCAUCUUCCUCUAUUUUAUGUAUUACGCUUCGACGAGCGAUGAGGUCUGUGCCCAGGAUCCAAACCUGUGAACCUAGGGCUGCUGAAGUGGAGCACAUGAACUUAACAGCUAUGCCACUGGGCCCACCCCAAAGUUAGUAUUUUUAUAUCAUCUUGCAAAGCGCCAACAUAAAGACGACCAUACAGUCUCCCCAGGUGCUCACACCUAUGCUUAUUAUUUCUACAUAAUGAUUUGAUAUUAAAUAAAUCAUUGUGUGGAGGAAGCCAGAAUGCAGACGCAGAUUUCUAUAAUCCUCAGGGUUAAAAAAAGAAGAAAAGAAAAGGCAGUUUUCUAAGCUCCCGCCUCUCCUGCGGGAGCCACGGGCUUCCCUGUCACCUGUGCCUGCCCCCGUGGAGAGCUGACACUCGCGGAGCACGCACUCUGAUGUGGCCAUCAGUCUCCACAUGCGUCAAACCCCUGUAACAGUCACAACCCUCAAGGGUGCUUGUGCUAUUAUUAUGACCCUUACUGGAGAAGUGAGGGAACUGAGGCAGGAAGAGGUUGAGCAAGAAGCCCAAGGUCACAGAGAGAGCUGGUGGCAGAGCUGGCAUGAAACCCAGGACACCUGUCCAGAGCCUGGACUUCCCUCCUCUCCCCCCCGCCCCGCCAGGCUCCUGCCAUGUCACCCCGCGUGUCAACACAAAGACUGUCCCACUGCAGCUCUGCUGCCUUCCAGGCAAAGGUUCAGCUCAUUCUCAAGAAAGCUCCAUGGGCCGAGUUCAGUGAAAAUGAGCAGCAGGCACUGCAAACAUUGGGCCAAAGAGGGAAAACCACUGGGAGUUGCUGGCGAUGGUGUGCGGCUACGAAUGCCGGAUCUAGGCUACUUUCAAGCACGUGUCUUCACUUUCCUGGCUUCUUCGGGAAUGUUUGGGGCUCACUGUUUCAGUGUGCAGCACUUCCUGGAGCAGAGAAAGACGCAGAACUGGAGGCUGACUUAGUAACUGUGUGGUGCUGGAAAAGCUUCUCAUUCUCCAGGCCUCAGGUUCCUCGCCUGUAAAUGACAGUGAUGAGUCAGGCUGGUGCUCAGUUCUCCCUGGUGCUAUCAUGCUCUAACUGGGAUUGGCAGAGGUAGCCUGGGUUAUUAAAAUCUGCGUCCACAGAGCUUAGCUCCUUUGGAGAGCUUUUAAAAAUCCGCGUGUUGGGCCCCACCUCCAGAUACUGAUUUAAUUAAAGGAGACGGGGCUCAGGCACCAGUGCUUCUUGUUUUUAACUCAGGUGAUUCUGCUAAGGAGGCAGCUCUGAGAACCAUGGCUCUGGAGAGUUCUCAAACUUGUGUAUUCAUCAAAAAUACCUGGAGGGCUUUUUCCCACCCCAAACUUUCUUAUUCAGUAGGCUUGGGUGUGGGGCAUUUCUG